UCCCUCCCUCCCUCCCCUCGCACCCCUCUCCGCCGCCGCUCCCCUCCCCCUGGCUCUGACUCAGUCCCACUCGCUCCUGCCUCGCCGCCUGGCAGCGCUGCUGCCGUGCGCCCGGGCGGGGCGGGGCGGGCAAGGAGCCGCCGAGGCUGAGGAAUUCCAACUCGUGACUAACAAGCUUGGACUGCGUGCAGAUCCGCCUUGAAGAAGGGGUGGGGGGGUUGGGGAGUGGAAAUAAAAACCCAAUUUCGCACUGGCUCUGGCAGGCGGGAGGCCAAGGGCUGAAUGGUGUGAGGGGGCUGGAGGGGGCUGCUCUGCAAAAGCAGGGCAAGCCCAGAUCUCCCUUUGCCCCUUCCUCAGGGCCAAGUGCACCUCCACCCUUAGUGGCACAAGUCAAGGGGACAUGUGAUAGAGGUAGCCGUGGAGGAAGCCUUCGCAGCACGCCUGCAAAAGCCUUCUUCCUCUGAGCGCAGACUCUGCCGAGUUGCAGCUCUCAACGGAAAAAACAAUCUUCCCUCCUACGGUUGGUGUGUUUAUCCCCGUGCGCACACACGUGAUGGAUAGACAGUUGGCACCUUCCUCCCCCCCACCCCUCUUUCUUUCCCCCAUUGAAAUCAGAAGGAACCCCAGUGGGAGGAGAGAGGAGCACAAUCAACAAGGUGACAACAUGGAGCACUGUCAAGAUUGCUUUUAUCCUAACAGUCAAUCAAUGAAUUUAUGUAGAUUUGCCAUCCCAAACAGAGGGUACAAAUCUUUCUUUGCGCAACAACUCUGUAAUUCUACCUUUGUCAAAUGAAGACAAUAAACCAGAAAGAUUAAUGUACAUUUUCUGCUUAGUAAUAAAUUCAAUUGUCAAAUGCAGAGAACUUUUUUAUUCAAAGACCUGGAUCAAUGGUUGACUUUGUUUUGAAGCAUUUAUUUAAGAAGGUGUUUAAAAAGAAUGGAGUUCAUGCUCUUAAUAUCCUUAGAAAUCUUUCAAAGGCAAUCACUCUAUUUGUCAAUCGAGCGGUCACUGCUAUGUAACAAUAAGAAGUGUGAAAGUUGGAUGUGGGAAUCCCUUUGGGUUUGUGUAGUUUGCUUUCUCAAUAGGAACAGAACAGUAGGAAAUUAGAAAGUGAGACACACUUAGAAAUCCUAUUUGAGUCUUUUAAACUGCUUCCUUUAAACAAGGUAGAAUUUCAUCUUUCAUCUUAACACCAUUAAGCUUCAAGGUCAAUUAGAUGAACAUGAUAAAUGUGAUCUGUGUCGGAAGGAAUGCCUCUUACUUUUUCUAAUAUAUUAAGCAGCUAAUGUUUAAAUAGUUAACCACUCAUUUUAUCUGGUUGUCAUUUUAAUCUCUUACUUUUUAGCCUUAAGUGAGUAUUUAAGCAUAUUUAUUAGCAAAAACGCAAAGAUUCUGUUGAGAUAAGCACUUAACUUUUCAAAGUAUGAGCAGUUAACAAGAGAUAACACUGUACUGAUUAUGAACCUCAUUCGAAGCCUACUGAAGUCCAUAAAAAAAAACUCACAUUGAGUUCAGUGAGUUUUGGAUCAAACUCACACAAGGAUUUUAUUUGACAAGGGAUAUGGUACAGUGGUUAUCUCAAAGCAAAACUACUGUUGGUUAAACUGGCACCUGUUUCAUUUUUAUAAACAACUAUAAAGGAAAAAAAAAGAGAUGCAACUAAAUGUUGCAGAUUUAUGUACUCUAAACUCCAUACUGCAAACUUUAGGACUCCUCACAUCUCCUAAAAAAUGUGAUGUAUUACUCCAUUUCCAUUCAAACCAAGUAUGGGAACUGUUUUAACUGUGGGUUAGAUACUCAUUGCUUAAUGAUGCAAUACUUAAUUCAGUGGUCUAUUAACCUGAGUUGAGCAAGCAGAUUUUCUUCCAGAGUGUUUAGGAGUUAGGGUUAAAGAACAUGGAAACAAUGAAAGAGUUAAUAGCUACAGUAAAGGUAACAGAUAGAAAGGGCAAAGAACUCAAACUUAAAAGAUAUGAGAAUAAAUGUAACUGAAAGUGACAAGGAGAAAGAAAGCCUAAAUUAGAAUAUUUCUGAGACUGCUGAGUCAGGCUUUACUGUGUUGCUUGCAGUUGGCCUGUUUCACUGUAUCAUUUUGAUCACCAUGCUCUUCUUUCCUGUAAAGUAAGUGCAUAAUAAUAAUCAUAAUAAUAAUGCAACAAGUAACAUGCAUAUAGCUUGACUGUGAAGGAACUCGCCUCCAAAGAUUAGGAAAUGUCAACAGUUAAAGUUUCUCCAAAAAUACUAAUUUGACCAUGUUAUACAUCAUUAAAAAAAAAAAAAAAGAAAGAAAAAGUCUUAUUAGAUGUAAAAGCACAACAAAACCAACCUGAUGUUUAGGAACUAUUAACAAGACUACCAAGUGUAGUUCAGUCCCUCCAAUCAUUUAUAAAAAAAGGAAGGAAAAACAGGUUUGGAGGAUGCUCUGGGUAUUAUAUUUGCCUCUUGAGUUUCAUUAACUUUUUUUGUUGUUUGAUAUGUAACCUUUUCCUUUUUUGUUUAAAGUAUAUUUUUCUAUUCCUUGUUGAUGUGUUAAAGAUGUCAAGUUGCAGGGAAAACCAUUCACCCGGUACGAGAAAGAGUAAAACUACUGUGCCUGGGGUUAAAUGCCAAAAAAAUAGGGAGAAAAAAUACUCUCUCUAAUCUUUUAAUUAUACCCAUUUAAGGUAUUUGCAAGAAUAGUAAAUUCAUUCCGUGAAUAUCAAACUUAAGGUUGAAUAUGUGACCCUAAUUCUGACCUUUGGUGCAUAUACAUGUAGUCUUAUGACAUGUACUCAUUCUCCUUAAGCUAUAAUAAAAUAAUUGCUUGUCAUAUUAAAACUUCAAGUGUUGCCCCAGCAAUUAGAUAUGGGCAUAUGUAUAGUCUCCUUGACUGUAUAUUUCCCAUACACAUCCGACUGUGGGACUAGGGACUUGGAUGCACACAUUGCACCUUAUAAUAUGUUUCUUUGUUGCCUAUUUAUUCUAGUUCCAUUAUCAUAAUAAUGUAAUCUGGCCUUUGCUGAUGCCUUAUAAAGUUUGCUUCCUUCUAA